rnacentral:sRNA from 1 species
AUGUACCACGCGUACACUCUGGUUCCUCUGGUUCCUCUGGUUCCUCCGCGCCGUCCGCACCGAGCUGACGACUGCUCGCUACGUUUUGUUAGCG